rnacentral:rRNA from 1 species
UGGGGAAUAUUGGACAAUGGGCGAAAGCCUGAUCCAGCCAUGCCGCGUGAAUGAUGAAGGCCUUAGGGUUGUAAAAUUCUUUCGCUAGGGAAGAUAAUGACGGUACCUAGUAAAGAAGCCCCGGCUAACUCCGUGCCAGCAGCCGCGGUAAUACGGAGGGGGCUAGCGUUGUUCGGAAUUACUGGGCGUAAAGCGUACGUAGGCGGACUUUUAAGUUAGAGGUGAAAUCCCGGGGCUCAACCCCGGAACUGCCUUUAAAACUGGAAGUCUAGAGUUAUGGAGAGGUAAGUGGAAUUCCUAGUGUAGAGGUGAAAUUCGUAGAUAUUAGGAGGAACACCAGAGGCGAAGGCGGCUUACUGGACAUAUACUGACGCUGAGGUACGAAAGUGUGGGGAGCAAACAGGAUUAGAUACCCCCGUAGUCC